UACGUAGGGGGCGAGCGUUGUCCGGAAUUACUGGGCGUAAAGGGCGCGUAGGCGGUUUGGCAAGUUUGGUGUGAAAUCUUCGGGCUCAACUCGAAGUCUGCAUCGAAAACUGCCGGGCUUGAGUAUGGGAGAGGUGAGUGGAAUUUCCGGUGUAGCGGUGAAAUGCGUAGAUAUCGGAAGGAACACCUGUGGCGAAAGCGGCUCACUGGACCAUUACUGACGCUGAGGCGCGAAAGCUAGGGGAGCAAACAGGG
rnacentral:rRNA from 1 species